rnacentral:rRNA from 1 species
GACAGAGGGGGCAAGCGUUGCUCGGAAUUACUGGGCGUAAAGGGCUCGUAGGCGGCCAACUAAGUCAGACGUGAAAUCCCUCGGCUUAACCGGGGAACUGCGUCUGAUACUGGAUGGCUUGAGUUUGGGAGAGGGACGCGGAAUUCCAGGUGUAGCGGUGAAAUGCGUAGAUAUCUGGAGGAACACCGGUGGCGAAGGCGGCGUCCCUCGGACCAUAUGACACUGAAACGCGAAAGCCAGGGGAGCAAACGGG